rnacentral:rRNA from 1 species
GACGAACGCUGGCGGCGUGCUUAACACAUGCAAGUCGAGCGGAGCGGCGAACGGGUGAGUAACGCGUGAGUAACUGCCCCCCUCUCUGGGAUAACAGUUGGAAACGGCUGCCAAUACCGGAUAGUGGGGGAUGACUCGCGUCCUAUCAGCUUGUUGGUGGGGUAGUGGCCUACCAAGGCGACGACGGGUAGCCGGCCUGAGAGGGCGACCGGCCCCAUUGCGCUGCGAUACGGCCCAGACUGCUACAGGAGGCAGCGGUGGCGAAUAUUGCACAAAGGGGGAGAGCCUGAAGCGGCAGGGUGCGUGCGGGAUGGCGGGCUUGGGGUUGGAAACCGAUUUAGGCCAUGAGGCGGUAGUGGCAGAAGAAGCACCGGCUAACUCCGUGCCAGCAGCCGCGGUAAUUC